ensembl:lncRNA
GUGAGAAUGUGUUGAAAAUAUUGUCUUAAUCCAAAUCUACAAAUGUCAAACAUUGUAUUUUAUGUCUGGAGAAAUCUAUAGUCCCUUUUUUUAUAUGAGCUUAAAAACAUAUUUACAGUAUUUCAGUCUGCACAUCUAAGUCUCUGUGUCAUUGAGAUCAGACAGGUCAGGGAGUGGAAGAAAUUAAUUCAUGCAUAUAUUAGUCUGUUUGAGCUCAUUAAAACGAGGAAAUGCUAAUUUAUGAUGGGUGAAGGUUUAUUUAUAGCCCAAGAGUGGUGUAAGCACAUCUCUUAAGAUGUCUAAGUGAAGGAUAGGGAUCUUAUGUCAUCUCAUUGCGAGCAAUAUGUGUCUGAUUGGCCAUAGCAAAACCCUAGACAGAUGGCCCAUUCUGGUAUUUAGAGUUUAAGGCCCUGCUGUGAAACUGUUUGCUUGGAGAACUCUGGUUUAAUUCCUCCAACGUGGACACAAGAGGAAUUGUAUUUGUCCGAUGUGGACUCAAGAGGGAAAUAAAGAAAAUAAUUGGAUUUUUGGUUUCCAAACAAGAAGCACAACUUCAGCUGAGCAAGACAAAUCCGACCUAUCCCGGAGCUUAUGGGACAGUCAACUAAACUGUUAUAGCCAGGAGUUUAUUUUCAACCCAAAGACAGGAAGUUCAAUAACUUCAUAAAAGUGAUUACACUGCAUUUUGGACAGAAGGAAGAAAUGCUUCAAAGGUCACUUGAGGUUGAGUGAGUGUAUGUGCAUUUCCCCUUGGUGUUCCCCACGGGAUCGCUACACAAAUAUCGAACUUCACAAGAUUUUCUAGGUUUCUGGGUCUCGAAACAAACUAAACCUUCAGCACUCAAUGGAAGGUCACGUUUCAAGGAAUGGCCUUCAUGUUCUCUAAGGUUUCUCAAGGAUCUUGUACAAUGUAAUUUGUAUUCCAUUCAGCUCUCACUCCCUAAUUUGUGCCGUUGUGUGUGCAGGUCAGUCACCUUUGCCAAACCACACAAUGAAGCCUCAGGUCAAGAAGGUUUUAGUCUAUGGGACACUCAGUCAUCACCUAGAGAGACAGAACUCUGCUAAACCUUCACUGCCGGUUGGCUUCAUCUCUGUUUGCGGUGGAUCUUUCGUCUCUAUAUGUCGUGCUCCACCCCAGGAGGCUUUGCCUUCACCUCUCCGCUCCUCUGCAAUUAAGGCUGACAGGAGAGCUUGCUCUAUUCCGCUGAUGCCAGUACUUAUAAAGAUGGAGAGAGAGAGCUCAGAUAUGUUCAUACAUCAGUCAAGGCCCCUUUCCAACCACCCAGCCAGUCUCCAUCCAUGCCAGUCUGUCUGUUGUUCUCAGUUUUUCUUUUUUACUUUAAUUUUACAACUGCCACUUGGGAGACUGAAUUGAUAUAAAUGGAUUUUUAGGAUAGUAUGUUGCUCAGGUAGCAGUGUGAUACUGUAAGUAGCAUUGAAAUUCUCUAGAAAUCACAAAUGUUGGGUAAAAUAAAAUGCAUUUAAAAGUUUAUUCAAUCAUAAUUCUUAAAU